GUUGCCUUACACACUAUGCAAGCUUUGCUGUUUGCAGUAAAACUGGCUGCUGCUUGCUCUUUGGGUCCACACUGACUUUAUGAGCUGUAGCACUCACCAUGAAGGUUUGUAGCUUUACUCUUGAAGCCAGUGAGAUUAAAAACCCACCGGGAGGAACAAACAACUCCAGUACGCGCCGCCUUAGGAGCUGUAACACUCACGGCGAAGGUCUGCAGCUUCACUCCUGAGCCAGCCGCACCACGAACCUAUCAGAAGGAAGAAACUCCGAACACAUCCGAACGUCAGGAACAAACUCCGGCCACGCCGCCUUUAAGAACUGUAGAACUCGCUACAGCACUCACCGUGAAGGUCUGCGAUUUCAUUCUUGAAGUCAGUGAGACCAAGAACCCACCAAGUCCGGACACAAUGGGACCUGUAUGCAGUCUAUGGGGCAGUUCAGACCAAAGGGCUGGGCGUGGCACCACAGCUGCCCCGAGCCCUUGGCCUCUCUGAGCUUUUCUCUCUCACCUGAGAAAUGGGAUUUCAAGGAAAAUGAGUAGCGGUAACUUACCCACCUUACUCCACGGUUACUGUGAAGCGCCCAGAAGAGAAGCCAUGGAUGUGGGCGACGCAUUCGAGAGCACAGCGCUGGGCUCCAGCCCUGAUGCAGAGGUACAAAGCUCGUCUGGGCAGAUUGUUAUGCAAAUCAAAAGAGGAAGCAGAGCUAGGGGAGCCGAGGAGCUCCUGCUGGGCUCUGCCAGGGAAGAAGCCGCAGUAGGAGCCCCUACGUAGGCCCUGCAAGAGGCCUGGCGUUCAGGAAAGGGCCCGCUGACCAUCCAGUGCAGGGAAAGGAGUCCAGCUCUGGCCUCUGCCCCUCAGCUCCACCUCCUGCAUUCCUAGGAGUUCUCCAGAGGAUCUGAUGGGAGCUCAGAACCGGUCCCAACAGCUCCCUCCACCCUUCAUGAACGGGGGCUGGAAAAUGUGGUCUGCUCUGAUAAGGAUUUGCGUCAGGCUACUGGCUACUCAGCAGCCGAGAAGAGCAAGCCUCCAGGCCUCUGCACGCGUGCCUUCUGCCCGGUGAGCCUCUCACUAUCGUCCUUCUAAAAGACACUUCAAAAAGAGGCAAAAUCAUGCCUUCCAUACAUAUAUUAAAAAAAGAAUAUGUGUCAAAUAUUUUAUUCUACUCCUAAACCAAUUUAAGGAAACCAGGCAGAUGUUACAACUGGUUCAAAUGAAAUCCUAAGAACAGACACAUUUAAUAAUCAGGAAUAUGGAAAAGAACAUGCAAAUGGGAGCUGGGCACAGCGGCUCAUGCCUGUAAUUCCAGCACUUUGGGAGGCCGAGGUGGGUGGA
rnacentral:lncRNA from 1 species